rnacentral:lncRNA from 1 species
UGAUUUAUUCGGACCAUUUCUAUUCCUGUAAAAUAUUAGUCAAUCAUUCUGAUUGUGUUGUCUUCUGUCCUAUGUAUUUCUUAGUGUCCUCAUUGCUUGAUUGGAAAAUCAUUUAGACCUAGGGGCAGUAUUGGUUUGACUUGCAGCUCUAUGACAGUCUAGAACUGCCUUUGUAUACUGCACUGAUUUAUAAAUUACUUUCCUUUUUCCCAACACGUUCACAUAAUCUAUCAACUCAUUGUUCUGAAGGCAAUCCGAAUAUGGUUAUGGCUCUGGCUGGGAACAAAUCUGAUUUGCUCGAUGAAAGGAAAGUAGAAGCUAAGGCAAGUAUUUCUACUUGUGGGUUAAAAUUCUUUCUAGAUGUGGUGUAGUAGUAGCACUUACUUUCUGGAUGAUGAUGUUAUUUUCAACUACGUCGAGUACAGGAGGCGGAAGUCUAUGCACAGGAGAAUGGCCUUUUCUUUAUGGAAACCUCUAAGAUAGAAGAUGUAUCAACCAAGCAAGCCAAGCGUAUACAUUUUCCCUGAAUCUCAGUUUCAUAAUCAGUAUGUGGAUUCAAAUACAAGCAUCGAAGUAACAUAAAUACAUAACUUAAAACUUAAAAUCAAACUGGAACGAAAACAGAAAAAAACAAGGACGAAAGCCUUAUUUGGAAAGCUUGGACAAAGACUCUAUUUCGCUUAAAGUUGGCACAAAAACCUCACAUCUGAUGGACAAGCUCACAUAUUUAUACAGCAGAUAGCAAGGUAAGAUAAAAUUAGCCUUGUCACCUUGUGUAAAUAGUCCACACCAAUAAAUAUAGAUAAAGAGCUACUAUAUGCUUAAUUAGAUGAUGAUGCACGAAAGGAAAGACUUCCCAUCUCACUAUUAAACAAUACUUACAUGUUUAUAAUCACAAUAUCAGCUACAGCCAAAGCAAAAAGUGCACUUUGUUUCUCGAAAGUAGUAUCAUCCUGAAAAAGAGACAUACGAGACCCUCAUUAGAGUGUUCCAUGAAAAAAGACCGUCACUAGAGCCAAAUGGAGAGGCCACAAAACUAAUGACAACAGUAAACAUAGUUGGCUGAAAUGCCAAAUCUUACAUUAUAUAAGAUUCUCUCUCACACGAGUUCUACUUUCUUAUAAUCUUCUAUACAUGAACUUUUUUUUAUAAAUGACUAUUCAAAUUUCAAUACAUGAACUUAGUUGUCAAGCAAGGCCACCUAAAGCAUAUGUUGUUCUUCAUUUGUUAACUAGCAAUGCUUCACCUUAUCCGAACCCACCAGCAGACGACUAAAUAGACUUCCAUUCUACUGACCCAGUAGUUAUUGUUCUUAGCAACUUUGUGAAAGCAAAAAUUGUUUAUACAUCUCAAUUCGAAAACUACCAAUGAAGGAAAAAUACAUCAAUUUGAAACACAGAUAAAGGCUUACCUCUCCUCUUUCCCUGCCAUCAGUUCCUUCUAGAUCCAUGCCAAGCGUAAAUGGCUCAAUGCCAACGCACUUGGCCAUCCAAAUGCCUUUAGUUGUUUGACCCCUGAGACAAUGUUAGUCAUAUUCUCCAUGUUAACCAUAACCAUUUGCCAAGAAAUGAUAUGAAGACGAGGAGUAAAGCAUUAAAUUACUUAAUACACGUUAAAUUAGAACAAAACUAGUACUGCCGAACCUUCCCCUGAAGGCAUCCAUUUCCCUGAAAUUGGUAUGGAACAGAUGAUUCAUCAAUGUACUCUUGCCUGCACAAAAGCAAAGAAAUAAAAAGAAUUUCCAUUAGGCAUCAAACGGCUAACUUUAGCAUUGGGCAAUCAAAGCCAAACCCAAUUCAAAGGAACAGAAGUCAGAGAGCAAAAAAAGGGAAAACAUACCGCUGCUUUGAGGACCCAUGAUAGCGACAACAGCGUAGGAGAGACCGCAGUCGGAGAGCUUGGUGAUAGAGACGAAGCGAUCGAGUCCUUCGACAUUGAAUGUGCCGUCGCCGUCAAUCAGUUGCGUGGAGCAGCAGUCAUCAGCCAUGUUGGUGGAAGUCAGCUCAAAGUCUCUGAUUGAGCUGCAGUCUAGCUAGGGUUUUUGAACUUACGGAUUCGUCGGUGGAAGAGAAUGAAAUUGGAGUAGAGGUGAAGCAAGAGAUCGGAGAAAGGGAAAGAAUCGAAGGAAAAGGGGGCUGGGAAUGAUCUUAUAAUAACCACUCACUAUUCCCGAGGUUUCUCCACUUUCACUUCGAUUCUUACUGUGUAUAUACCGAAGUAGAUUUGCAGUGCUGGAUUGAACUACUGGAAUUUACAGAGGGCAGGUGGACUGGAGAAAGCUUUGAGCUUUUUCCUUCUUCUUUCGAAAAUAUACAAUUUAUUUUAAUAAAAAUAUAAAGUCAGUUCAUUUUCUAUUUUAUUAUCAUUUUUUAUAGAUCGUCCUAAACGAAAAGUAAAAACCAAAAAGAAAUUUGAUUCAUUUGAGGUGUGGUGGGUCGUCUUCUUCUUUGUCUCCGUGUGCUUUACACAAACGAAGAUCAAACCAAAAAAUACCAGACUUUGAUCGCAAACAAAAAGAGAAGAAGAAAGAAAACACAUCGCUGUACACGUCUCGCCACUAAAUCAUUUGAUCGACAUAGUUUCUGUCCAAUUCGUCACUUACCCACCUGCUAAUUACUACUCAUGGACAGCGCGGGUAACAAGAACAUCAACGCCAAAUUGGUGAGUCCUCAAAUUUUUCUUUCUUGCGUUUCAUUAUAUUUUAGGCCCGAUCUAUGUUGCUUGAAUUCGGAUAUGGGUUAGCUUUUUAAUUCUUUUUCGCUUGGUCUGUGUCGCUCAAUUUUGGAGGUCGAUUGCUAUUAACGUUCUUGAUUGGAAUUCAUAUUGAUUUUCUUUUAUAUCCCAACAUUCCCAAUUGCCGACUUCCGUUUCAGUAUAUGCAUGUGGUGUGUGUGUGUGUGAGUGAGUUAUCUCACGUGAAAUUUGUUAACCUUUUCAGUCUCUGUCUGUUGAGGUCUCUCUCAUCGUCCGAUGACUUGUGAGCUUUGAGUUAUUGAUGUUUAACAUCCAGGUUCUAUGCAAGUCUUUGAAUUUCCUAGCUAUGGAUGAUAUGUAGGCAGUACUUGCUUCUGUGGAGUGUUUCUCUGUUGCUGGAUGCUCACAGCUUCUCGAAAGUUGGUUUCUUGCCUGCUAUUUACUUAACUUGGAAUGUGAAGCAUUAUCAGGACCUGAAUCGGAUGAACCUGUUCAGGCUGUAUAAAACUGUUAAUGGUCUGCUUGAGCUAGUCUGGUCUUUCCUGUGUCUCUUAAUUGAUUUUGUUGCCUUCCUCUUUUGCCCAGCUAAUCCGGAUGUCGUUUCUAAUUUACAUAUAGCUGUGAUUGAAAUGGUAGUGGUAAUCGGUUUGGAUAACUCGAAUCUGCAUCCUAACCAAAUUAUUAUGCGAUCCAUCCAGGUGCUCCUCGGUGAUCCUGGUGCUGGAAAGUCUAGUCUUGUUCUGCGAUUUGUCAAAAACCAGUUUGUUGAGUUUCAGGUUUGUGCGAGGAAGAAUUGUGAUUCGUGACGUUAACAAUGUAUAGGCGCUGUAGCUCUCGUGGUCAUUUUUUAAACUUUGUUAUUUUUCUGUGUCCAUGUAGGAAUCAACAAUAGGGGCUGCCUUCUUUUCACAAACAUUGGCAGUGACUGAUGUCACUGUAAAAUUUGAGAUCUGGGACACAGCUGGGCAAGAGAGAUAUCACAGCCUUGCUCCUAUGUACUAUCGAGGAGCUGCUGCAGCAAUUAUCGUGUAUGACAUCACAAAUUCGGUAUGUGACAGACUUGGCAGGCCUUUAAGUUCAUCGAACUAUUUGGAAUCAGGAAAUCGUUUGUUGUUGUGUCGAUGUUUAUUUGGUACAUCUCUCAACAAAAGAGAUAUAGGGUUGAUGUUGUUUUGUCAAUCGUUCGUUAUUUUCUUGCAGGCCUCAUUUGAUCGGGCAAAGAAAUGGGUACAAGAACUGCAAGCCCAAGGUAGUGUUGCAUUGUGAUUUAUUCGGACCAUUUCUAUUCCUGUAAAAUAUUAGUCAAUCAUUCUGAUUGUGUUGUCUUCUGUCCUAUGUAUUUCUUAGUGUCCUCAUUGCUUGAUUGGAAAAUCAUUUAGACCUAGGGGCAGUAUUGUUUUGGCUUGCAGCUCUAUGACAGUCUAGAACUGCCUUUGUAUACUGCACUGAUUUAUAAAUUACUUUCCUUUUUCCCAACACGUUCACAUAAUCUAUCAACUCAUUGUUCUGAAGGCAAUCCGAAUAUGGUUAUGGCUCUGGCUGGGAACAAAUCUGAUUUGCUCGAUGAAAGGAAAGUAGAAGCUAAGGCAAGUAUUUCUACUUGUGGGUUAAAAUUCUUUCUAGAUGUGGUGUAGUAGUAGCACUUACUUUCUGGAUGAUGAUGUUAUUUUCAACUACGUCGAGUACAGGAGGCGGAAGUCUAUGCACAGGAGAAUGGCCUUUUCUUUAUGGAAACCUCAGCAAAAACAGCAACGAAUGUCAAUGGCAUUUUUCAGGAAAUAGGUAUCUUACUUCUGUCGACUUGGGGUUGAUAUGUGUGCUUGCUUAACAAUAGAACUUUUUGGCUCCAACGGCUAAUCCUUUGGGGUCAGAGUCGUUGCCGACAAGGAAAUCCAUCUUUGUCAUGAUCUUUGUCUUUGCUUCUUGCUCGUGUACGGCUUGUACACUCUUUACUCUUUAACAUUUUUCCACUUACCUGCUUGGAUUACCUUGCUAGAGUUAACAAAAUCAAUGCAUACCUUAUCAGGUUACUGCAUACAUAUUUGUAGCAGCAGAUUUUUCUAUCUUCGUACCUUCCAUGAAAUACUUUCUAUGAAAAUUUUGAAUUUCUUCGUCUAUUGAUUGGUUUGCCC